UACGGAGGGUGCAAGCAUUAAUCGGAUUUAUUGGGCGUAAAGGGCGCGUAGGCGGUUCGUACAGUCAGACGUGAAAUUCCUGGGCUCAACCUGGGGGCUGCGUUUGAUACGUGCGGACUUGAGUGCGGAAGAGGGUCGUGGAAUUCCCAGUGUAGAGGUGAAAUUCGUAGAUAUUGGGAAGAACACCGGUGGCGAAGGCGGCGACCUGGUCCGAUACUGACGCUGAGGCGCGAAAGCGUGGGGAGCAAACAGG
rnacentral:rRNA from 1 species